UCUCCGUUGGUGAACCAGCGGAGGGAUCAUUAAAGAGUUGCAAAACUCCUAAACCAUUGUGAACAUUCCUACAACUUUGCUCCGCCGGGUCGGCCCCGGUCUCCGGGGUCCCCGGCCCUCACGGGCCCCCGCCGGAGGUACCUAACUAUUGAACUUUUAUGGCCACACUGAGUCUUUGUACUUAAUAAGUCAAAACUUUCAACAACGGAUCUCUUGGUUCUG
rnacentral:misc_RNA from 1 species